rnacentral:lncRNA from 1 species
ACUCUUGAUCGAAAAAUAUCUAAAGUUAAAAAACGUACUAAUCCAAAAAAAGAUAAUCAUAACCUUAGAGAGUUUUUUUAAAAUCAUUAAAUACUUUUGAAAAAAAAACAGAUUAAUUUUUUAUUUUUUUUCUUUUAAAGUUUAUAGGUACCAUCCAUCGAGACCAUCCUGCUAAAAUUAUAUAGGAUUACUAUAAAUGAUAGAACACAAUUUAAGAUAAUUGUAAACUUAAGAUUUAU